rnacentral:rRNA from 1 species
AACUAACGCUGGCGGCGUGCCUAACACAUGCAAGUCGAACGAGAAAGUUGGCUUCGGCCGAUGAGUAAAGUGGCGCACGGGUGAGUAACGCGUGGAUAAUCUGCCCUUUAGUUUGGAAUAACGUACCGAAAGGUGCGCUAAUACCGGAUAAUACUGAAUGACUACUGUCGUUUAGUCAAAUAAGGCUUCUGUUUACAUGCUUUUGCUGAAGGAUGAGUCCGCGUACCAUUAGCUAGUUGGUAGGGUAAUGGCCUACCAAGGCGACGAUGGUUAGCUGGUCUGAGAGGAUGAUCAGCCACACUGGAACUGAGACACGGUCCAGACUCCUACGGGAGGCAGCAGUGGGGAAUAUUGCGCAAUGGGGGCAACCCCGACGCAGCAACGCCGCGUGAGUGAGGAAGGUUUUCGGACCGUAAAGCUCUGUCGAGCGGGAAGAAAUGCAUGGUGGCUAAUAUCCAUCAUGCUUGACGGUACCGCUAAAGGAAGCACCGGCUAACUCCGUGCCAGCCGCCGCAGUAACAC